rnacentral:rRNA from 1 species
UAUCGGAACGUACCAUUCAGUGGGGGAUAACGUAGCGAAAGUUACGCUAAUACCGCAUAUUCUGUGCGCAGGAAAGCAGGGGAUCGCAAGACCUUGCGCUGAUUGAGCGGCCGAUAUCAGAUUAGCUAGUUGGUGAGGUAAAAGCUCACCAAGGCGACGAUCUGUAGCGGGUCUGAGAGGAUGAUCCGCCACACUGGAACUGAGACACGGUCCAGACUCCUACGGGAGGCAGCAGUGGGGAAUUUUGGNACAAUGGGGGCAACCCUGAUCCAGCCAUGCCGCGUGAGUNAAGAAGGCCUUCGGGUUGUAAAGCUCUUUCAGCCGGGAAGAAAAUGCAUGGGUUAAUACCCUGUGCAGAUGACGGUACCGGAAUAAGAAGCACCGGCUAACUACGUGCCAGCAGCCGCGGUAAUACGUAGGGUGCGAGCGUUAAUCGGAAUUACUGGGCGUAAAGCGUGCGCAGGCGGUUUUGUAAGACAGGCGUGAAAUCCCCGGGCUUAACCUGGGAACUGCGUUUGUGACUGCAAGGCUAGGGUACGGCAGAGGGGGUGGAAUUCCACGUGUAGCAGUGAAAUGCGUAGAGAUGUGGAGGAACACCAAUGGCAAAGGCAGCCCCCUGGGUCGAUACUGACGCUCAUGCACGAAAGCGUGGGUAGCAAACAGGAUUAGAUACCCUGGUAGUCCACGCCCUAAACGAUGUCAACUAGGUGUUGGGAGGGUAAAACCUUUUAGUACCGUACGUAACGCGAGAAGUUGACCGCCUGGGGAGUACGGCCGCAAGGUUAAAACUCAAAGGAAUUGACGGGGACCCGCACAAGCGGUGGAUGAUGUGGAUUAAUUCGAUGCAACGCGAAAAACCUUACCUACCCUUGACAUGUCAGGAACUUUCCAGAGAUGGAUUGGUGCCCGAAAGGGAGCCUGAACACAGGUGCUGCAUGGCUGUCGUCAGCUCGUGUCGUGAGAUGUUGGGUUAAGUCCCGCAACGAGCGCAACCCUUGUCGUUAAUUGCCAUCAUUUAGUUGGGCGCUUUAACGAGACUGCCGGUGACAAACCGGAGGAAGGUGGGGAUGACGUCAAGUCCUCAUGGCCCUUAUGGGUAGGGCUUCACACGUCAUACAAUGGUCGGUACAAAGGGUCGCCAACCCGCGAGGGGGAGCCAAUCCCAUAAAGCCGAUCGUAGUCCGGAUUGUAGGCUGCAACUCGCCUGCAUGAAGUCGGAAUCGCUAGUAAUCGUGGAUCAGCAUGUCACGGUGAAUACGUUCCCGGGUCUUGUACACACCGCCCGUC